AAAGAGAUAAGUGGAAUCAAAUUUAUAAAAAGUAAGCAAAUGACACCAGAUAGUCCCAGAAUACACAUGGAUAAAUAAAGACAACCAGGUAUUGUCGCGACCCCUUGCCCGCAAGGAAGACGCAACUCGGGAAUCUUCAUUCAACAGUUUAUUCAGGCCCUUGAUAUUUCUUCUUCUAACCCUCGGAUGCCCCUCCCAGCCUUAAUAAAGCAUCUCAAGCCCCAAUGCGAAGCUGCCACGUGGAGCUUUCUCAUAGGGUGGUAAGGGAUUGCGUGCCAAUUCUCCAUAUAAGGAGUUGUUUA
rnacentral:lncRNA from 1 species